UAGGGAAUCUUCCGCAAUGGGCGAAAGCCUGACGGAGCAACGCCGCGUGAGUGAUGAAGGUCUUCGGAUCGUAAAACUCUGUUAUUAGGGAAGAACAAAUGUGUAAGUAACUAUGCACGUCUUGACGGUACCUAAUCAGAAAGCCACGGCUAACUACGUGCCAGCAGCCGCGGUAAUACGUAGGUGGCAAGAGUUAUCCGGAAUUAUUGGGCGUAAAGCGUGCGUAGGCGGUUUUUUAAGUCUGAUGUGAAAGCCCACGGCUCAACCGGGGAGGGUCAUUGGAAACUGGAAAACUUGAGUGCAGAAGAGGAAAGUGGAAAUCCAUGUGUAGCGGUGAAAUGCGCAGAGAUAUGGAGGAACACCAGUGGCGAAGGCGACUUUCUGGUCUGUAACUGAUGCUAAUGUGCGAAAGCGUGGGGAUCAAACAGG
rnacentral:rRNA from 1 species